rnacentral:rRNA from 1 species
GGAGGGUGCAAGCGUUAAUCGGAAUCAUUGGGCGUAAAGGGUCCGUAGGUGGUUUAUCAAGUCGGAUGUGAAAGGCCUAGGCUUAACCUGGGUUUGUCAUCCGAUACUGGUAUAACUAGAGUAGGAUAGAGGGAAGUGGAAUUUCCGGUGUAGCGGUGAAAUGCGUAGAUAUCGGAAGGAACACCAAUGGCGAAGGCAACUUCCUGGAUCCAAACUGACACUGAGGGACGAAAGCGUGGGGAGCAAACAGGAUUAGAUACCCUGGUAGUCCACGCCGUAAACGAUGAGAACUAGCUGUAUGGGAGCAUGACUCCUGUGUGGCGAAGCAAACGCGUUAAGUUCUCCGCCUGGGGAGUACGGCCGCAAGGCUA